UUAGUUGGGGGGUAAAGGCCUACCAAGACAAUGAUGCAUAGCCGAGUUGAGAGACUGAUCGGCCACAUUGGGACUGAGACACGGCCCAAACUCCUACGGGAGGCUGCAGUAGGGAAUCUUCCACAAUGGGCGAAAGCCUGAUGGAGCAACGCCGCGUGUGUGAUGAAGGCUUUCGGGUCGUAAAGCACUGUUGUAUGGGAAGAAAAGUUAAGGUAGGGAAUGACCUUAGCCUGACGGUACCAUACCAGAAAGGGACGGCUAAAUACGUGCCAGCAGCCGCGGUAAUACGUAUGUCCCGAGCGUUAUCCGGAUUUAUUGGGCGUAAAGCGAGCGCAGACGGUUGGUUAAGUCUGAUGUGAAAGCCCGGAGCUCAACUCCGGAAAGGCAUUGGAAACUGGUUAACUUGAGUGCAGUAGAGGUAAGUGGAACUCCAUGUGUAGCGGUGGAAUGCGUAGAUAUAUGGAAGAACACCAGCGGCGAAGGCGGCUUACUGGACUGUAACUGACGUUGAGGCUCGAAAGUGUGGGUAGCAAACAGGAUUAGAUACCCUGGUAGUCCACACCGUAAACGAUGAACACUAGGUGUUAGGAGGUUUCCGCCUCUUAGUGCCGAAGCUAACGCAUUAAGUGUUCCGCCUGGGGAGUACGACCGCAAGGUUGAAACUCAAAGGAAUUGACGGGGACCCGCACAAGCGGUGGAGCAUGUGGUUUAAUUCGAAGCAACGCGAAGAACCUUACCAGGUCUUGACAUCCUUUGAAGCUUUUAGAAAUAGAAGUGUUCUCUUCGGAGACAAAGUGACAGGUGGUGCAUGGUCGUCGUCAGCUCGUGUCGUGAGAUGUUGGGUUAAGUCCCGCAACGAGCGCAACCCUUAUUGUUAGUUGCCAGCAUUCAGAUGGGCACUCUAGCGAGACUGCCGGUGACAAACCGGAGGAAGGCGGGGACGACGUCAGAUCAUCAUGCCCCUUAUGACCUGGGCUACACACGUGCUACAAUGGCGUAUACAACGAGUUGCCAACCUGCGAAGGUGAGCUAAUCUCUUAAAGUACGUCUCAGUUCGGACUGCAGUCUGCAACUCGACUGCACGAAGUCGGAAUCGCUAGUAAUCGCGGAUCAGCACGCCGCGGUGAAUACGUUCCCGGGUCUUGUACACACCGCCCGUCACACCAUGGAAGUUUGUAAUGCCCAAAGCCGGUGGCCUAACCGUAAGGAGGGAACC
rnacentral:rRNA from 1 species